GUGAGUAUUUGCACGUGAGAACUUAGCUCACACAGGCUUUGUACAUUUUUCAUAUUGCAAACCCGUCAACAAAAGGAGGAAGAGGAUCUAAGGGGAAUGAGUGGGUUUUGCGGAUUUACGAAUUUCUCUACAUAAACCAGAAGGUUUGGGUUGGAAAUCUGCUAAAGAAAAAACUUACAACAGACCACAGGGCUGUAAAUCCAGAGACUGGAAGGAGGAAAAGAGAAACAGUGUGUGUGGCUGCAGUGUUUGUGGUUAGAUGAGAACCAAGCGCUGAGCAGGACAGCGAAGGGGGUGGCUGGCAUGCUUUGCUCUGCUCUCAGAGCCAACACAAGUCGCGGAGCGCGCUGACACCACGGAGCACGAUCUCGGGGCGCCUCUGUGCCGCCCAGGGUCCUGCGCAUCUGCUUGCCCCGCGCUCCGCCCUGCGCCGGCCGCGUCUUCGGGGUCCCCGCGCCCCUACCCUGAGCGCUUCCGCCUGCGCUGAGCUCCCUGCGCGCCUGCAGCCCCAGCGCGGCAGCAGCGGGAACUCUUCUCUCCCGUGUUGGGACCCCACAGCUUGGACGACAGGGACCCCAGGACGCCUCCAUCACGUCAAGGCAGCCCUUCCAGGUUAACUUGCUGGAUAUCUCCUCUACAAGAAUCCAAUUAUAUGUCACGAAGAAAUUUCAUUCCAGAAGAAAGAAACAUCACAACUCUAGAAACCCCAUAUAUCAUUAAUUGGACCCCAAUGAAUGGCCCAUCAACCAAAGCUAAGUGACUCUGGACAUCAGAAUUUGUUUUCUCUUGAAGUUCCUGUUGUGGUGCAGCCAAACGAAUGUGACUAGCAUCCAUGAGGAUGCGGGUUCGAUCCCUGGCCUUGCUCAGUGCAUUAAGGAUCUGGCGUGUAGGUCAUAGAUGCGGCUUGGAUCCCAUGUUGCUGUGGCUGUGGCGUAGGUUGGCAGCUGUAGCUCUGAUUCAACCCCUAGCCUGGGAACCUCCAU
rnacentral:lncRNA from 1 species